CAAAAAAACAAGAGCCGUCUCUUAACGGAGACAAACAAACGAUCGUACACCGGUUUCUCCGAUGAAGAUGGACGUGUGCGAUGUAGAGCUCGGAGAUUUCACCCUUUCGUUCUGCCAAAGAUCCAACGAUUUAUCAUUGUGAUGAUUAGAAUUGCGUGACCCUGCGCGCGGAAGAAAACUCGCGGAGUAAUGAUACGUUGACGGCAAGAAAGAGUGAAAUUCUGUAAAUCACGCGUUGCCAGAACGAACGUGUGCUGAAUGGAAAUCUACUUGGAUGGCGUACCGCCGACGCGCAGAGAAAGUUAGUCGUGAUGCGUACCUCCUUCAUCAUCUUUCGCGGCGUCCAUCGCUCGCUGUCGUGUCGCGUCGUCGAGAAUGGCUUAAAUCGGCGAUAACAAGAAAGUAGACGCGAAUGCGCGCGAGCUCGCGUCUCUCGUCGCUCGCCUGGUGCCGCAUACUUCGGCGACGAUGAACCGGUUUUCUAAACUGGGAGAAAAUGGCGAAUGCAAAUGCGAACGAGUAAUUAUAAUGACGUAUAAUUUGAUAUGCCCAGCCGAUCGACAUACUCGGGUGAUCUAUAUUUAGAUAUUUCGAUUUCCGAUUGCCUGGUUGCGCUCUUUUAUCCAGCCUUCGAUCAUCAGCACCCAUUAACUCUUCGUUAAUUUAUAAAGUGCACGAAUGAGACUUUCGUUCACAAGAGAGCACGCUCCUUAAUUCUGCUAUUCUAUUCAAAUUCACUAUGCGAUACGAUCGUAUCAUUUGGGUCAAUAUGAUAAACAAGUUUUAGAAAAUAAAAUAUAAAAAAUUUUCAUCAGAAA